rnacentral:sRNA from 1 species
CAGGGGAUUGCAGUGGCAAAGCUAGGCUAGGUCUUGGAGGCUGGUGUAAGGCGAUGCGGGUGAAGGCAGGAGGCUGAUGGAAAGACUGGGGGGAAGAAAAGCCGAAAUGGAUUCACGGUGCCUUGGAUGAAGGACGAGAGGGGAACUGCAAGCUCCUUCAACUGGUUCUGUCCGGUGAGAAGUGAUCAAGCUUGGGCUGACAAGAGGCUCAGGGAGCCCUCACGUUCUUUCGCUUUUUUACCUGCCAAUCAAACUGCUACAAGACAACACCCUGAUCUGGCAUGGACAUCGCGGGUCCAAGCCUGUAGCCCCAAAUCGGAUAAUCUCUGCAGCUGAUAACAAGCAAAAGAGAAGCCAGGCAACAGCCAUAUUAAAGAAGAAAACAAUCAACUCUGAGACACAGCCCAGGCAGACAGAAGGAAACGGAGCAUUAAUCCAACAGCAGUCACCCCAAAGUACAGGCCAUUUGGAUCCAGAAGAGAAACUGGUUCUUUCUACAAGCUCUCCCGUUCUCCCUGGGGCCCUUCACAGCCCCCUUGUCUACGUUGUGGCUGUGCUUUCCCUGAUCCAACUUAGAAAUAAUGUUUCAUUCAAGAUAAGGCUCGUGAUUUAGGAGAUUGUGACCUGGCUUGCAUCAUUCUAAGACUUCUAUCAUCUGUUUUCAAAA